UUAUUACUAUAUUAAACGUGAACGACUUCGAUUUUUCUCAGAUUUUUGAGGUCUCAUUGGAAGUGAACCUCGCUAUCUCCUGAUGGUUUUGUUCUCACGGCCUCUUUCUUGUGUAUGUUUCGGUGCUACCUAGCGUUUUAUGUAACGUGAUCUUCUUUGUGUUAGGUUGCUGUGGUGCGAUUGCUGGUGUGGCCGUAGCACCAGGACGUGUAAUGCGGUGGUGGGCAAUCGGGCAAGUUCUAGAUGUUUGCCCCAGUUAUUUCUGUUUUCCUACAAUUUCUACGCACGGGUGUCAGACAAGCGGGGCAAGUUCGAGGUGGUGCGGCCGGAGACGAGGCUUGCGGCGGCCGGCUUCAAGCGAGGGAUUGGGAGAUGGGCGUUGCGGCUUGGCGUCGAGAGGCUCUGCAGGCGGCCGGUGAUUAUGGGGCGGGGCGGUGGAGCUGGAGGUAGGCGCCAGCAGGCGAUUCUGCUUGGGCGACGAGGUAGAUGCGGCGGAGAACGGCGGCCGGCAUCGAGAUUGGCCGGGACAAGCUGCUGGCGAGGUGUGGUCGCGGCCGUCCGCGUCGAGCUGCGGCCGCCGCGGGGGCUGAGGGGAGUAGUGGCGCCGGAGGAGAGCAGCGCAGCGGAGGAGCGGCGCCAGCGAGGAGGCGGAGAACGGUGGCUGGCAUCGAGGUCGGCCGGGACAGAUUGUUGGCGAUGUGCAGCCGGUGUGGUCGCAGACGUCCGCGUCGAGCAUCGCUGCUGAUUCCUCUCCAAUCCCCAAAUUAUCAUUAAUUUCGUUCACCCGUUCUCUCUGGCGCCGGUUCCCUCCUCUUCCCUGCCAACGCCUGUGUGAACCGGGACAUCCAUCAGGGCAGCGCGGCGCGCGUGCAGUGAGGCGGUGACGCAGGCGCACCAGGCAAAGGGUGAGGAAGGCCUGCCCCUGUCGCCGAGGUGCCAUGGGCCCCAUCAUCCCGGAAUCCCCCCUUGGGUCGAGCAGGCAGAGUCCAACGGCGAGCGGCGGCACGACGACUGCGAGCGCUUCCCCCGCGCUGCCGCGCAUCCGCCGCCGCUUCCCCCAGCUAAUCGCUGCAACCUGCUUCUCUGUUGUCGUCAGGUUGUGAUCACGUUCUUCUUCAUUCUGCAGAUAUCCAGUGAUGUUGGUGAAUGGUGGUCCUCUUAUUUCGUGCUACUGGUCAAUGUUAACUUCUUCAACACCAUUUGUAAUAUGUAAAUACAGUGAUACUGUUGGUGGAAUGGUGGUCCUCUUAUUUCGUGCUAUUGGCCAAUGUUCUUCUGGAUGGUCUGCACAUUCGUGCUCUUUUGGCCUGCAUCUGCAUGGUUGACCUUCAUGGCUAUGGCGCAUUACUAACAAUUGAUAUAGGCUCUCAAAAGAGUGAAUUUGCGUAGGUAACUGGCAAUUUAAUUGUGCUACAAUAUAUUUAUAUAUUCUUCUUUGUUUUAUGCAAUAAUCUUAUAUGUUUCACUCUAUGUUCUUCACAACUUUGGGAGAAGAAUAAGUACUAUAUUUUCACUACUUUUACUUCUCCGUACUUAUAGUUAUAUGCCCCUAUUAUUAAAAAAAUUU